rnacentral:rRNA from 1 species
CCUACGGGAGGCAGCAGUGAGGAAUAUUGGGCAAUGGACGCAAGUCUGAACCAGCCAUGCCGCGUGCAGGAUGACGGCUCUAUGAGUUGUAAACUGCUUUUGUACGAGGGUAAACCCCGAUACGUGUUUCGGGUUGCAAGUACCGUACGAAUAAGGAUCGGCUAACUCCGUGCCAGCAGCCGCGGUAAUACGGAGUGUCCGAGCGUUAUCCGGAUUUAUUGGGGUUAAAGGGUGCGUAGGCGGAUUGAUAAGUUAGGGGUGAAAUGCCGGGGCUCAACCGCGAAACUGCCUCUAAUACUGUUGGACUAGAGAAUAGUAGCGGAAGGCGGAAUGUAUGGUGUAGCGGUGAAAUGCUUAGAGAUCAUACAGAACACCGAUUGCGAAGGCAGCUUACCAAACUAUAUCUGACGUUGAGGCACGAAAGCGUGGGUAGCAAACAGGAUUAGAUACCCGGGUAGUC